rnacentral:rRNA from 1 species
UGGGGAAUAUUGGACAAUGGGCGAAAGCCUGAUCCAGCCAUGCCGCGUGUGUGAAGAAGGUCUUCGGAUUGUAAAGCACUUUAAGUUGGGAGGAAGGGCAGUAAGCUAAUACCUUGCUGUUUUGACGUUACCGACAGAAUAAGCACCGGCUAACUCUGUGCCAGCAGCCGCGGUAAUACAGAGGGUGCAAGCGUUAAUCGGAAUUACUGGGCGUAAAGCGCGCGUAGGUGGUAUGUUAAGUUGGAUGUGAAAGCCCCGGGCUCAACCUGGGAACUGCAUCCAAAACUGGCAGGCUAGAGUACGGUAGAGGGUGGUGGAAUUUCCUGUGUAGCGGUGAAAUGCGUAGAUAUAGGAAGGAACACCAGUGGCGAAGGCGACCACCUGGACUGAUACUGACACUGAGGUGCGAAAGCGUGGGGAGCAAACA